rnacentral:rRNA from 1 species
CCUACGGGGGGCAGCAGUGGGGAAUAUUUGGCAAUGGGGGAAACCCUGACCCAGCAACGCCGCGUGAAUGAAGAAGGUUUUCGGGUUGUAAAGUUCUUUUCUAAGGGAAGAAGAAAGUGACGGUACCUUAGGAAUAAGCCACGGCUAACUACGGGCCAGCAGCCGCGGUAAUACGUAGGAGGCAAGCGUUAUUCGGAGUUACUGGGCGUAAAGGGGGCGUAGGCGGUUUUGCAAGUCAGCAGUGAAACGCCCGGGCUCAACCUGUGGACUACUACUAAUACUGUUGGACUUGAGUACUGGAGGGGGAACCGGAAUUCCUGGUGUAGCGGUGGAAUGCGUAGAUAUUAGGAGGAACACCAGGGGCGAAGGCGGGUUGCUGGACAUUAACUGACGCUGAGGCACGAAGGCGAGGGGAGCAAAAGGGAUUAGAUACCCUGGUAGUC